rnacentral:rRNA from 1 species
UACGGAGGGCGCAAGCGUUUUUCGGAAUCACUGGGCGUAAAGCGCGUGUAGGCGGCCGGGCAAGUCGGGUGUGAAAUCCCGAGGCUCAACCUCGGAACUGCAUUCGAAACUGCUCGGCUCGAGUCCCGGAGAGGAUGGCGGAAUUCCCGGUGUAGGGGUGAAAUCCGUAGAUAUCAGGAGGAACACCGAUGGCGAAGGCAGGUCUCUGGGCAGUAACUGACGCUGAGGAGCGAAAGCAUGGGUAGCGAACAGG